UACGAAGGGGGCUAGCGUUGCUCGGAAUCACUGGGCGUAAAGGGCGCGUAGGCGGCCAUUCAAGUCGGGGGGUGAAAGCCUGUGGCUCAACCACAGAAUUGCCUUCGAUACUGUUUGGCUUGAGUUUGGUAGAGGUUGGUGGAACUGCGAGUGUAGAGGUGAAAUUCGUAGAUAUUCGCAAGAACACCAGUGGCGAAGGCGGCCAACUGGACCAAUACUGACGCGUGAGGCGGCGAAAAGCGUGGGGAGCAAACAGG
rnacentral:rRNA from 1 species